AUCCUCGGGGGGCAGCAGUGAGGAAUAUUGGCCAAUGGCCGAGAGGCUGAACCAGCCAAGUCGCGUGAGGGAUGACGGCCCUACGGGUUGUAAACCUCUUUUGUCGGGGAGCAAAGAGAGUCACGUGUGGCUCAUUGAGAGUACCCGAAGAAAAAGCAUCGGCUAACUCCGUGCCAGCAGCCGCGGUAAUACGGAGGAUGCGAGCGUUAUCCGGAUUUAUUGGGUUUAAAGGGUGCGCAGGCGGAGGUGCAAGUCAGUGGUCAAAUUGCGGGGCUCAACCCCGUACUGCCGUUGAAACUGCAUCC
rnacentral:rRNA from 1 species